rnacentral:rRNA from 1 species
GACGAACGCUGGCGGCGUGCUUAACACAUGCAAGUCGAACGGAAAGGCCCUGCUUUUGUGGUGUUCUCGAGUGGCGAACGUGUGUGUAACACGUGAGUAACCUGCCCUUGACUUUGGGAUAACUUCAGGAAACUGUGGCUAAUACCGGAUAGGAGCUCCUGCUGCUUGGUGUUGUUUUGAUAGUUUCGGCGGUUGGGGAUGGACUCGCGGCUUAUCAGCUUGUUGGUGGGGUAGUGGCUUACCAAGGCUUUGACGGGUAGCCGGCCUGAGAGGGUGACCGGCGACAUUGGGACUGAGAUACGGCCCAGAGUGGUACGGGAGGCAGCAGGGGGGAAUAUUGAACAAUGGGAGGAAGCGUGAUGCAGAAACGCGGCGAGCGGGAUGACGGCCUUCGGGUGGUAAACAGCAUUAGAAUGUGAAGAAGAGUGAGUGACGGUAAUGGGUAAAGAAGCAACGGCUAACUACGUG